CGCGAACAAUAGCCCUACCCCGCCUCGCUCGCUGGAAAAGGCCUCUGAAAUAAAAGAAGGUUCCACCACCACGCAGUCGCGGGAGGAUUCUCGAAAAACCUGCUUUACGUAGUCUGCAAGCUCCCACUGCCUCGUUUUAACACGGUUGUUCUAACGGGGGGAAGAAGACGUGAGCUCGGGAAGAAGAAAGUGCCACCGCCUCCGUGGGGGAGGGGCGAGAGACCCAGAAGGUUCGAUGUACGGUUUCCACCCCCUGUUCAGUCAUCUGGCCAGGGCUGAGGGAGAGCGCGUGCCUUCCGUGGGGACCAGCACAUUCGUUAGAGCACAGGUUGUUUUCCCCAGCUCUCAAGCAGUUGCCUCCCCCAUUGCACCUUGAGCAGAGUCCAGUGACCUGCUACAGAGGUGACAAAGGCCACCCGCCCCGAUAAUCCAGCCUCAGAGGUGUCCAAAAGUAGGUGUUAUCACUCCAAGUGCCUGUCAUGCAAAUACAGAUGUAUCUCAAGGGAAAGCUUUAAAUCCUGAGCACAAGCCCCCGGCACCACUGGCGUCUGCACUGUGUGAAUUCUGUCCUAGAAUUGAAUAUUUAAAAUUUGCCUCCACUUGGACACAGCCGAGACUGCUGGCGGCUUGAGAGCCAUGAGCGCGCGUGGGGUUACACUCUCGGGUGUUUCUAAUUUCGUUUUCAUUAUUUUCUCCCACUUCAUUACCACCCUCCUCCCAGUGCACACGCGCUUGGCCGUAUUCUAACUUGUUCGCUCAUGUCCAUCUUUGCCUUGGAGCUUUUUUGGCAAGAAGGUAAAGAAACAACAAGCUGGAGGAUAUUCUGGAGCCCUCUGCGGUGUGGAGGACAAGGCUGGCUGCCCUCAUCUCUGCAAAUGAGAAUGGUGUUCCCUGGAGAUUCCCUGGCAAGGCUGAGAUCCAUCACAAAACUUAUCAUGGACACCUUUGCCCUACCCACGAAUUGUCAAGCAGGAGGGAAAAGAAUGGGUUAGUGUUGGAAAGUGAGAGCCAUUGGAGAUGGAGGGCCUGAUAGAUCAUCCAGGUUCUGGAGGGCAGAGGAUGGGACAU